CUCUCACUCUCUCUCUCUUCCUCUUUCUUUCCCUUUUCUGCCUUUUUUUCCUCCAACUCUCCCCUCUGAGUCCUGCUGGGCUCUCUCACACUUCUACUCGAGCGGAGUGGGGAGGGGGCCCCUUCAGGGCUGCCCUGACGGCCCACGGCCCAAGCCGCCGCCGCCCGCCCGCCGCCGCCGCCCGCCGCCGCCGCCGCGGCUGCCGCAUUCCUGCACUGAUAAGACAGAAAUAGUCCGGCGGCCCGGGGUCUGCCUGCGACGCGCGGGGACACAGCAGCCCUCCCGUGCACCCGCGUGGUCCAAACGGCGCAGAGACGCGGCGAGCCAGGCCGGUCCGCCCAGCGGCUGCGAGGCGGGCAGCGAGCGCCCAGGCCGCCGGAGGCUCGCCGGUGGCGGCACGGGGAGGGACAGUCUAGGGAGGGGACGGGGGGGGGCUUGCCCGCCACCCUGCCUUCUUUCUCCACAAACAGUUUCUCGGUUGGGGAAUUCGCCGGCAGGGCCAGGCAGAGAACGGGCAGUUCCAACUUUCUUCCCCCAAGUGGCUCCUGCAGCAUUUCUGAGGCCCUUUCCCCAGGGACCGGGCAGGCCAAGUAGGGAAACAUUUGCUGGAAGGAAUCCGGGGGCGGGGGGGCGGGCGAGCCGGGAGCGGGCCUUGCAGCCGUCCAGGGCCGGCCGCCGUGGGUGUGCCCGUGCCUCGCGCUCCGCGUGUCUGCACCCUUUUGUGGCUCGGCGCAGCGGCCGAGGGUGUGGAUGUUUAUGUGCGGGCACCGGUGUGCUCCCUCCACGGGAGCCGCCGUGCCUGCGCGUGCGAGCGUGCGAGCGUGCGUGCGCGCGGGGCAGGACACGGCCUGUGCCUUCCAGCUCGGAGGGAGGCUAUUUCUGGGCUCGUGAGUCUUUGUUUGCCUCUGUGUGGGAAAGUGAGGGCAACCGGGGAAAGUCUUUCCGAAAAGGGGACAUGGACUGGGCUCCUGAGCACAGGAAGAAUGCCAGUGGAAUCAUCAGUGUUUGUUGCUAAGAAGCUGAGAACCCAGAUUGAGGAAAAAGCCCGGUGGUUUCCUAGAGGUUUGCUCAUGUCAAUUCUAACACCAUGUCCCUAGGAAUGCCCCUGUCCACCUUGGGAAAAAACACCUGUCCUCAUCUCUGGCCAGAAUGCCAUCUGGUAUUUCAUUCUCCCCUGUUGAACUCUGGGAAUACAAGGAAGAUGCAGAGUGCUGGGAAUUGAACCCAGGGCCUCAUGUAAAGCCAAUUCUCUACCACCGUGCCACACUGCAGGUCAACUUUAUUCCAUAAGGUGCCGUUUUAACCUUGUUUGAAUAUACCCCUUGACUGUCUCGCUGCUCAUCCUACCAUCAACAUCUCCACCAGACCCUUCCUGCCGGCAUACAACAGUAUGGUUUCCCCAUCUGAAAAGGACUCUCCUCACCCUGCUUCCCACAGUUGCAACAAAACUUCUCAAGAGUAUAUCUGCAUUUGCUAUCUUUACUUCUUGAACUCAAAUUUUAGUGGAUGUACAUCCUACUGAGAGUGUCCCUGUCAGGAACACCA
rnacentral:lncRNA from 1 species